rnacentral:sRNA from 1 species
GCCGGGUGCAGUGGUGCAUGUCUGUAAUCCUAGCCGCUGGGGAGGCUGAGGCAGGAGGAUCUUGAGUUCAAGGCCAGCCUCAGCAACUUCGUGAGGCCCUAAGCAACUCAGUGAGACCUUGUCUCUA